AAUAGAUACCCUGGUAGUCCACGCCGUAAACGAUGAGUGCUAAGUGUUGGGGGGUUUCCGCCCCUCAGUGCUGCAGCUAACGCAUUAAGCACUCCGCCUGGGGAGUACGGUCGCAAGACUGAAACUCAAAGGAAUUGACGGGGGCCCGCACAAGCGGUGGAGCAUGUGGUUUAAUUCGAAGCAACGCGAAGAACCUUACCAGGUCUUGACAUCCCGGUGACCACUAUGGAGACAUAGUUUCCCCUUCGGGGGCAACGGUGACAGGUGGUGCAUGGUUGUCGUCAGCUCGUGUCGUGAGAUGUUGGGUUAAGUCCCGCAACGAGCGCAACCCUUAUUCUUAGUUGCCAUCAUUCAGUUGGGCACUCUAAGGAAACUGCCGGUGAUAAACCGGAGGAAGGUGGGGAUGACGUCAAAUCAUCAUGCCCCUUAUGACCUGGGCUACACACGUGCUACAAUGGACGGUACAAACGGUUGCCAACCCGCGAGGGGAGCUAAUCCGAUAAAACCGUUCUCAGUUCGGAUUGUAGGCUGCAACUCGCCUACA
rnacentral:rRNA from 1 species